rnacentral:rRNA from 1 species
AUUGAACGCUGGCGGCAGGCCUAACACAUGCAAGUCGAGCGAGCGUCGGACGGGUGAGUAAUGUAUGGGGACUGCCCGAUAGAGGGGUAUAACUACUGGAAACGGUGGCUAAUACUGCAUACUAUCGGAUAACCCAUAUGGGAUUAGCUAGUAGGUGGGGUAAAGUCUCACCUAGGCGACGAUCUCUACCAGGUCUGAGAGUAUGAUCAGCCACACUGUGACUGAGACACGGCCCAGACCCGUACGGAGGCAGCAGUGGGGAAUAUUGCACAAUGGGCGCAAGCCUGAUGCAGCCAUGCCGGGUGUAUGAAGAAGGCCUUAGGGUUGUAAAGUACUUUCAGCGGGGAGGCGUUACCCGCAUAAGAAGCACCGGCUAACUCCGUGCCAGCAGCCGCGGUAAUAC